rnacentral:lncRNA from 1 species
CACUCUCCUCCCCCUCCCUCCCUCUAUCCCCACCCGGGUUCCCGUCUCCAGGCUGCGUUAUCUGCAUCUUCACUUUUAAAUUUCCGCUUCCCUCCCUCUCGCCUGUCGCUGCGCGCCCGGCCCUGCAGCCGUUGCUCCCUUUAUCUCUGCCCGCAUCCCCGCUCCCUCCUCCUCUUCUCCCACUCUCUGCUCUUCCCUAGAGACCCGAACCCCUUCCCCGUCUCCUUCUUGCUUUGGCCCGUUUCCUGCCUUUCUGGGGCCCCCAAGCCUCAGGCCUGGUGCUGGGCCAUCUCUCCUGGCAACUUAUGAUGGGUGGCCCCCUCUUCUGUCCUCCCCGCCCCCUUCUAGGUCUCUCUUUACCUCCUAGGCUUUUCUCUCCGACUCUCAUCUCCCCUCCAGCCUUCUCUCUCCCUCUCAUCCUUCUCCCUCCCCUCCUUUUCUCAUUCAUUCAGUCCCCAUAAAUUAGUAGUGGCUUGGACUGCUGAAGGCCUCUAAAGAUGUUGAGAAUCUGUCCUGGCUUUCCCUGAUGGGUUCCUGAGCCCCCUGCUACUUCCCUGUACAACUAUUCUGCUCCCAUCCUUCCCCAUCCCCUGUCCUCCCAGUCUGCCACCCACCCUCACCACUACUCCCAUUCUGGCUAUCCCUGAACGAGGCUGGAGAGGUGGAGGGGUUAAGACAGGGUUGUGCACUGUACAAGGCUGGAAUCCACUCCAAGAAAAGGAUUCCUAUUUCUAACUCAUGCAAAGAUGUUGAUGUGGUUCCCAAGUGGCCUGGAGUCUCUCUGGGUACCUAUGGGGCUUCGUGGCUCUGGAGAGGCAGGCUAAGGAGGAUGCUGGCUGAAGAUGAGGCUCCAGCCCAGAAGCCCACCUUCUGCAGCCUUGCAGUAUGGAACGGGUACUGUCAAAACUGGCAUUCUCAAAGUCCUCUCUCACUGCUUGAGCCCAGGGGUGGAGGAGGCCUGGGAAUGGGCAGGUCUCCUGCUAAGUGCCUGGUCCUGGGAUGCCUGAUUGAGGAUGGCUGGAAACUCCUACUUCUGGGGUUCUACAGGGCCCAUGUUCACCCUCAUUUGCUGCAACUUCUGGAGUGUUCAUCUUUGCUCGUGGAGGGUGCAAAGGAGCCAGGGAGAAGAGUGGGAGGCAGAGUGUGGAGGGAAAAAGAGGGAUCCCAGGGCCUGGGAGGAUCCUAGUGGGACAGGGAUGAAGCCUUCAGGAUGUGGACCUGGAAUCUGGUGGGAGCAAAGACUAGAGGUUGGAAUGUUCCCUGUGGACCAAACUCAGGGCUCCACAGAAGGUGAGGGCCUUGAAGUUGGGGUCAAGAUCCCAAUCCCUCUCCUUCUCAUUCCUCUUUCUGCUUCCCCCACCCACUAUGGACAGAAAACAAGGAGCAGGAGGUAAGAACAGAAAAUAGCCAGGGGCAGGAGGUAAGAGCUGGGAAAGCUGGGAGGCAUCAAAAUUCGCCCACUUAAUGCUCUCAGUGGGAGGCUAAGGUGUAAAGGAGAGGGUCCUAGUGAGGUCUACCCAAAUAUCCCAGCUGUGAGCUGGGCAAGGAUCAACAGUAUAGGCUUUAUCCCUCAGUCUUACCCAGAAGUCAUUUGCUGAGGGGGUGGAGCACCAGGAAAUGUGUGCAUGGGGGGCAGUCAUCUCCACCCACCUGAGUCUUGAUCUUCUCCAUCCCCUCCUGCUGCAAGUACAGCUAGGGAAGCCAACAGGAGAGUCCUUGGCAGUUUCCCCUUCAUCCCCUUCCUACCCUGCUGAGCGCUGGUCCCAUGUGGUUCUGCAGAUGGCCAGCCUGCCCAGAAUGAAUGGAGGACCAGAAGGUCCAGAGUCACACUUCUAGUUCCUGAAGCCAUCUUGCUGAUUCUUCCCAGCAACCACAGAUACCCCUGUAGGGAGAGCAGCUCAGUCAAGGGCAGAUUCCAGAUCUCCCUUUGCUCAUUGCCUGCUCCCCAAAGCAAGCAGUGGGGAAGUGGCCUGCUGGGCUCUGAAGCCAGUUUGCCUGGGUUCUAGUUUCAACUCCUGACUCUCCCAUUUCCUGGUUAUGUGACUUUGGGGGAAGUAACAUAACCUCUGUACUGUACUUGCAUCUCCUCAUUUGUAAAGUGGGUAUGGGCCAGCGCAGUGGCUCAUGCCUGUAAUCCCAGCACUUUGGGAGGCCAAGGAGGGUGAUCACCUGAGGUCAGGAGUUCAAGACCAGCCUGGCCAACAAGGUGAAACCCCAUCUCUACAAAAAUACAAAAAUUAGCCUGGCAUGAUGGCAGGUGCCUGUAAUCCCAGUUACUCAGGGGCUAAGGUGGAAGAAUUGCUUGAACCCAGGAAGUGGAGGUUGCAAUGAGCUGAGAUCGUGCCAACGCACUCCAUCCUGGGCAACAGAGUGAGACUCUGUCUCAAAAUAAAAAUAAAAAUAAAUAAAAAUAAAAUGGGUAUGAUAGUACCUGCCAUACAGAAUGAUGAGGUUUAUAUGAGAUAACACAUGUGAAGGGCUUAGAUCAGAUUCUAUACAUGUAGCUAUUGUAAAUAUUGCCAUUCCACAAGGGGAUGGGGAGGUGCCCAUGACCAGCCAGGAACCCCAGGUUCCUCUGGGGCCCACAGAAGUUUGGGGCUCUGCUGAGGCCUGUGGCUUUUAGCCACAGCUCAGUUCAGCCUCCACCUAACAGCCUGGAUUUAGGGCCAAGAACUCUGUGUUCAAAUCCUGGUUUUGUCACCAAUUAAGUGGGUGAUGUCAUCAAAGUUUCUCCUUGGACCCCCAGUUUGGUAAAAUAGAUGGAAUUGGAGAGUAUUAGGAGGAUUGAAUGCAACAAGGGCCAUGGACUCUAGAGCCCAUUCGAGUGUAAAGCAAAAUUUAUACGCCAUCCAAAGCUCACUCCCUUGGUCCCCUGACCCAACCCUAGGAUCCAUAGCGGGGAGGUAGGGGAAGGAGGUCCCUACAUUGACUACCCCAGUGCUUUUCCAUAACACCACAAACAUUUGCAGGGGUUUCUCAUGGAAU